rnacentral:snRNA from 1 species
AUCGCUUCUCGGCCUUUUGGCUAAGAUCAAGUGUAAAAAUCAAAUCAAGGUAUAAAGUGUAUAGUUCACUUCAUACAUUUGUCACUCCUUUGUGAUCAGAACACCUAAAAUCCUCUUUUCUAGCUAUUUUGAAAUAUGC